CAGCAGCCGCGGUAAAACGAAGGGUGCAACCGUUAAUCGGAAUUACUGGGCGUAAAGCGUGCGUAGGCGGUUUGUUAAGUCUGCUGUGAAAUCCCCGGGCUCAACCUGGGAAUGGCAGUGGAUACUGGCAAGCUAGAGUGUGUCAGAGGAUGGUGGAAUUCCCGGUGUAGCGGUGAAAUGCGUAGAGAUCGGGAGGAACAUCAGUGGCGAAGGCGGCCAUCUGGGACAACACUGACGCUGAGGCACGAAAGCGUGGGGAGCAAACAGGAUUAGAUACCCGAGUAGUCCCUGUCUCUUAUAA
rnacentral:rRNA from 1 species